rnacentral:rRNA from 1 species
AGUGAACGCUGGCGGUAGGCCUAACACAUGCAAGUCGAACGGCAGCACAGGAGAGCUUGCUCUCUGGGUGGCGAGUGGCGGACGGGUGAGGAAUACAUCUGAAUCUACCUUUUCGUGGGGGAUAACGUAGGGAAACUUACGCUAAUACCGCAUACGACCUACGGGUGAAAGUGGGGGACCGCAAGGCCUCACGCGAUUAGAUGAGCCGAUGUCCGAUUAGCUAGUUGGCGGGGUAAUGGCCCACCAAGGCGACGAUCGGUAGCUGGUCUGAGAGGAUGAUCAGCCACACUGGAACUGAGACACGGUCCAGACUCCUACGGGAGGCAGCAGUGGGGAAUAUUGGACAAUGGGCGCAAGCCUGAUCCAGCCAUACCGCGUGGGUGAAGAAGGCCUUCGGGUUGUAAAGCCCUUUUGUUGGGAAAGAAAUCCUGUCGAUUAAUACUCGGUGGGGAUGACGGUACCCAAAGAAUAAGCACCGGCUAACUUCGUG